rnacentral:rRNA from 1 species
CCUACGGGGAGCAGCAGUCGAGAAUCAUUCACAAUGGGGGAAACCCUGAUGGUGCGACGCCGCGUGGGGGAAUGAAGGUCUUCGGAUUGUAAACCCCUGUCAUGUGGGAGCAAAUUAAAAAGAUAGUACCACAAGAGGAAGAGACGGCUAACUCUGUUCCAGCAGCCGCGGUAAUACAGAGGUCUCAAGCGUUGUUCGGAAUCACUGGGCGUAAAGUGUGCGUAGGCUGUUUCGUAAGUCGUGUGUGAAAGGCGCGGGCUCAACCCGCGGACGGCACAUGAUACUGCGAGACUAGAGUAAUGGAGGGGGAACCGGAAUGCUCGGUGUAGCAGUGAAAUGCGUAGAUAUCGAGAGGAACACUCGUGGCGAAGGCGGGUUCCUGGACAUUAACUGACGCUGAGGCACGAAGGCCAGGGGAGCGAAAGGGAUUAGAUACCCUAGUAGUC